GUUUAGUGCGUAAGGGAUUGCAAUGGAAAUCCUUUUUUAUUUAUGGAGCGAUAGCGUAUUAUAUAAAAAAGAUUGUAAUGGAAAGCCCGACCCGAA
rfam:Flavobacterium frigoris strain DSM 15719 genome assembly, contig: Ga0131223_102